UAAUAUAUUCUUGUUUAAGGUUCCUUUAUUUCAAUAUUCAAAGGGCUAUCAGGUGCGCUGUUGACAUCUUUUAUAAGCAAAACGCUUCCAAGAGAAGAUGUGGCGAAAAUAUUCGCAUUAAUAUGCGCUUUUGAGAGUUUUGCUCCGUUAGCUGUACCAUUAGUAUACAAUACAGUGUAUGCUAUGACUGUGGCCACGCUACCUGGAGCUAUAUACAUUUUGAGUAUAGUUCUUGUGACAGCAAGUACCAUCAUGUUAGGGUUCGUUCAAUACUUCCAUUGGCGAGCGACACGAAUUACGUACAACACGUUCGAUUCUCCAGAUGCCUAACCAAGCGGCAAUUAUGACAAUAGAGAAUUGCACCUCUAGAACUAAAUUAAAUUUAGUGACGAGUUCGUACCGAUAUCAUAGGUGUUGAGGAGAGAUGUAGACUAAUAAAUAAAUAAGCAUUACAAACGAAAAGUUAGUGUUAUAACAAACAAUUGAUACCUAUUGUAAAUUAAUUUUAUUCAAGUGAUUAUUUUUAAUUGACUUUAUGUAAUAUUAUUUUUCUAUUAUAUAUCAAGAAUUUAUCACUCUUUUUAUUAAGGGCUACUAUUUGAUAAGUAGGUAUGUCUCGACGAAUGUUAUGUACUUACCUGAUAACUUAAAUGGAACUUCAGAUUGAUAAUAUAAAUGUAGAUAUAACUAAAUGGAUAACGUUAUUUAGGAAAUGUGUAGUAUUUUGUAGGUACAUUACUUACUUGCGCUGUGAUAACUGAUAGAUAUAAUUUAAUUUUACAAUAAAACUGUUAUAAAUAAA